ensembl:lncRNA
UUUUUAAAAUGUAAUCACAUUAAAAAUAAAUUGGCAAAGUGCUGCAGAGGUUUACUGUUUAAAUUAAAACAUGGAUGAAAAUUUGUGUGAUAUUCUUUAAAAAUAUAAAAGGCAUUACUAUUACAUUUGGUGGCGCUAGUGGCAAGAAAUUGCAAUUCCCCUGAACUUACAUUGAAUCUCAUUCCUUAUAACUGCAAAUUUGGCAUAGAGAGAGAAAGAGAUAGCAAGAAAGGAAAGUGACAGAUAGAUCAGGUGAACAGGCCAUCUCUCUAUAAAUAACUCUACUUUGACAUGUGGAGGGUGAUUUCACCCUGACGUUUUCUCUCCACCAAUUUUCCUUUAAAUCAGUAUUUAGACAUGCCACUCUUUCUGCACACCUCUCUCCUCCAAUAACACAGAGCCGUGCUGCCCUCUAUCUCUGUUCCUCCUGUACUCUUUUAAUCUCUUGCUCUUUCAUUCAGAACCGCACCUCUGUUUUCACAGUCUGAUUAUUGUGCUCUUUUCUUCCAUUCUCUUCCUCUUAAAGUUAUAAUUUCAUCAUUAGUUCCCUGAUUGCCCUCCUGUUCUCAUCAGUAUUAGCCACACUGCUCAUUCUGCUUUGUCUCUCCUGCCUUCACACGUUCAGCUCUUACAUCCCCUCAUCAUUUCCUCCCACUCUCUCUCUCUCUGAUAGGUACCCUGUGUGGACAGAUCUUUGAGGCUUUAGUUCUGUAACUAGCCUCGGGGGAUGCGGUGACUAGCUGUUGUCAGAGAAGCCAGGAUUAGGCCGUCUGCUAGAGGCCUGUGGAUGACAGCAGUGCCCAUCUCUUCACCCUUGGCAUCGCUGGAGGACCACCAUAGAGAAGCAGGAGAGACAUCCCUCCUCAACUAAUGUGGCAGCAAACAAGGUUCACAUUAAAACUGGGAAAACCUCAAGUGCAGCGGGGCCAAUGGAAGGUCUCUUGCCCUUAUAGAGCUGGGAUGAGCUCUGAUAAAUGGAAAACGGGGAAGACUAUGGAUAACCAAAAUGAACACAGCAGAAGAACAUCUAAACAUUCUUAAAUCAAUAUACAUUUACUUGACAAGCAAAAUGAUGCUAUUUUCCAUCCUUUGUGAAGCAUGAAAGCGUCAUUCACCAUUCGUUGCAAUUGUAUGUCAAAGACCGACCAAAAUAUAUCUUUCAAAAUUUCUCCUUUUUGUGUUUCAUGGAAGAAAGUAAGUCGAACAUGUUUAGGAUGAGGACGAGUAAACGCUGACAGAAUCUUCUGGGUGAACUAUUCCUUUAACAGAUUAAUUCAUUGUCUUUCAUGCAGCUCUUCAUUUGUAAUCUCCUGCACUGGAACCUAUUUUUGAUGUGUUUUUUUUUUGUCUCCUGAUCACACUGUGCACAAACUAGUUGAGAUCAAAGGCGAGCUUCAAAGCAUCAGGAGGAAUCUGAAGCUAAAGGGGUCUGUCUCUCUCUCUCCAUCUCAUUCCUAUGCUUCUCAAACACUCCAGCAGACACCACCCAGCACCCGUCUGAGUGAGGGCAUGCCUCUUACACCCUUCUUCAUCAUCACGUUGGCUCUCUUUAUCUGAUAAGUCACAAACACAGCUAACAAAGACGGAGAAAAAUGACACAUUGCCGAUUAAAUGAACUAGAAACAACAGAUUAAAUGUUCUAAGGCCACAGGGGGGAAAACAACAAGCGCCAUUUGAGCCGCGUCAAUCUAUGUCUUCACAUCCGAUACUGCAUUUUUACCGUAUAAACUGAGCUGAGAAGUCUCUCCCUGAUACCUCUAUGAACCUAAGAUGACUCUGACCUGAACGACCUUGUCUAUUUUGGUUCGGAUGAUCUUCAAAAACAGCUCUACCUGCCAUCAUGCAUUAUAAAUGAAAGCUAUGUUGUCUUUUGUUCAUGCGUUCUGUUGACAUACAUCAUGUCAGGCGGGGGAAUAAAAGACAGGGAAAAAAAAGAGAUUGGAAAAAA